UGGGGAAUUUUGGACAAUGGGGGCAACCCUGCUCCAGCAAUGCCGCGUGUGUGAAGAAGGCCUUCUGGUUGUAAAGCACUUUUUUCCGGGAAGAAAUCGCACCUGAUAAUACCGGGUGUGGAUGACGGUACCGGAAGAAUAAGGACCGGCUAACUACGUGCCAGCAGCCGCGGUUAUACGUAGGGUUCAAGCGUUAAUCGGAAUUACUGGGCGUAAAGCGUGCGCAGGCGGUUGUGCAAGACCGAUGUGAAAUCCCCGGGCUUAACCUGGGAAUUGCAUUGGUGACUGGAUGGCUAGAGUGUGUCAGAGGGGGGUAGAAUACCACGUGUAGCAGUGAAAUGCGUAGAGGUGUGGAGGAAUACCGGUGGCGAAGGCAGCCCCCUGGGGUAACACUGACGCUCAUGCACGAAUGCGUGGGGAGCAAACAGG
rnacentral:rRNA from 1 species